rnacentral:rRNA from 1 species
UAGGGAAUCUUCGGCAAUGGGGGGAACCCUGACCGAGCAACGCCGCGUGAGUGAAGAAGGUUUUCGGAUCGUAAAGCUCUGUUGUUAAGGAAGAACGAGUGUGAGAAUGGAAAGUUCAUACUGUGACGGUACUUAACCAGAAAGGGACGGCUAACUACGUGCCAGCAGCCGCGGUAAUACGUAGGUCCCGAGCGUUGUCCGGAUUUAUUGGGCGUAAAGCGAGCGCAGGCGGUUAGAUAAGUCUGAAGUUAAAGGCAGUGGCUCAACCAUUGUAGGCUUUGGAAACUGUUUAACUGGAGUGCAGAAGGGGAGAGUGGAAUUCCAUGUGUAGCGGUGAAGUGCGUAGAUAUAUGGAGGAACACCGGUGGCGAAAGCGGCUCUGUGGUCUGUAACUGACGCUGAGGCUCGAAAGCGUGGGGAGCGAACAGG